AGGACGAACGCUGGCGGCGUGCUUAACACAUGCAAGUCGAGCGGAAAGGCCCUUCGGGGUACUCGAGCGGCGAACGGGUGAGUAACACGUGAGUAAUCUGCCCCUAGCUCUGGGAUAGCUCCGGGAAACCGGGAUUAAUACCAGAUACGACCACUUUAGACAUCUGCUGUGGUGGAAAGAAUUUCGGCUAGGGAUGAGCUCGCGGCCUAUCAGCUUGUUGGUGAGGUAACGGCUCACCAAGGCGACGACGGGUAGCCGGCCUGAGAGGGCGACCGGCCACACUGGGACUGAGACACGGCCCAGACUCCUACGGGAGGCAGCAGUGGGGAAUAUUGCGCAAUGGGCGAAAGCCUGACGCAGCGACGCCGCGUGGGGGAUGAAGGCCUUCGGGUUGUAAACCCCUUUCAGCAGGGACGAAGCGAAAGUGACGGUACCUGCAGAAGAAGCGCCGGCUAACUACGUGCCAGCAGCC
rnacentral:rRNA from 1 species